rnacentral:rRNA from 1 species
AUGAUCAUUCAGAAAGAAUAUCUGGCUGAGGUUGGCUUGAGGAAAAAAGUUGAAGCUGAUUUAGAUAGACUGGUACAUAGAAUUCAAGAGAUGGAGGAAGACAAAAACAAACAAGAAACCUGGAGGGCUGUGGAAGAAAAGAAAUACACUUCAUGGGAAGAGGAGAAGAGAGCUAUGAUAGAUAUGAUCAAGAAGCAGCAAGUGAUGAUAGACAAGUGUAUGGAAAAAGUAGACCAGUGGGAUGAAAAAGAAAUCUCUGGAGAUGAUAUGGGAGAGAAAAAUGACUCUGAUAAAGACAAUAUUCAAGAUCCUCUGAUAGAAGACAAUUACACUGAACCAGUGGAUUACAAUGCUAGCCAGGAUUCUGUGAAAUCUCUGGGAUCAAAACUGGGUAUCUCUGCUAAAGAGGAGAAAGAAAAAGACAAAGAAGGACCAACCAGAAGAAGUGACAGAAAUCUAGACAAAAAGGACUCCAAGAUUGAAGAUUUGGCUAAGGAGAGAGCUGCUGACAAAGAUAACUAUGGUAAGUCCCCAACCCUUACUAAGGAUCAAAUCUCUUUGUUUGAAAUGGCAGAGAAAGUGGGGGUGGAGCCGGGGUGUACUAUUGACCUGGUCAGCCAAAACCUAGACCUGAUCUCCAAUAUGAAACAGGCUAGAAGAGAUAUAUAUCUACAAAACAUAAGAAAUCAAGAAGAAAAAGAAAAAAUGAAAGCUCUCCAAAUCUAA